GAUGAACGCUGGCGGCGUGCUUAACACAUGCAAGUCGAGCGAGAAAAGUUCUUCGGAGCUUUUCUAGCGGCGGACGGGUGAGUAACACGUGGGCAACCUGCCUCAUAGAGGGGAAUAGCCUUCCGAAAGGAAGAUUAAUACCGCAUAACAUUGUUGAAAGGCAUCUUUUAACAAUCAAAGGAGCAAUCCGCUAUGAGAUGGGCCCGCGGCGCAUUAGCUAGUUGGUGAGGUAACGGCUCACCAAGGCGACGAUGCGUAGCCGACCUGAGAGGGUGAUCAGCCACAUUGGACCUGAGACACGGGCCAGACUCCUACGGGGGGCAGCAGUGUGGAAUAUUGCACAAAGGGGAAACCCUGAUGCAGCAACGCCGCGUGAGUGAUGAAGGUCUUCGGAUUGUAAAGCUCUGUCUUUAGGGACGAUAAUGACGGUACCUAAGGAGGAAGCCACGGCUAACUACGUGCCAGCAGCCGCCGUAAUAC
rnacentral:rRNA from 1 species